rnacentral:rRNA from 1 species
UCGAGCGGAACGAGUUAUCUGAACCUUCGGGGGACGAUAACGGCGUCGAGCGGCGGACGGGUGAGUAAUGCCUAGGAAAUUGCCCUGAUGUGGGGGAUAACCAUUGGAAACGAUGGCUAAUACCGCAUAAUGCCUACGGGCCAAAGAGGGGGACCUUCGGGCCUCUCGCGUCAGGAUAUGCCUAGGUGGGAUUAGCUAGUUGGUGAGGUAAUGGCUCACCAAGGCGACGAUCCCUAGCUGGUCUGAGAGGAUGAUCAGCCACACUGGAACUGAGACACGGUCCAGACUCCUACGGGAGGCAGCAGUGGGGAAUAUUGCACAAUGGGCGCAAGCCUGAUGCAGCCAUGCCGCGUGUGUGAGGAAGGCCUUCGGGUUGUAAAGCACUUUCAGUCGUGAGGAAGGUGGUGUAGUUAAUAGCUGCAUUACUUGACGUUAGCGACAGAAGAAGCACCGGCUAACUCCGUGCCAGCAGCCGCGGUAAUACGGAGGGUGCGAGCGUUAAUCGGAAUUACUGGGCGUAAAGCGCAUGCAGGUGGUUUGUUAAGUCAGAUGUGAAAGCCCGGGGCUCAACCUCGGAAUAGCAUUUGAAACUGGCAGACUAGAGUACUGUAGAGGGGGGUAGAAUUUCAGGUGUAGCGGUGAAAUGCGUAGAGAUCUGAAGGAAUACCGGUGGCGAAGGCGGCCCCCUGGACAGAUACUGACACUCAGAUGCGAAAGCGUGGGGAGCAAACAGGAUUAGAUACCCUG